GACGAACGCUGGCGGCGUGCCUAAUACAUGCAAGUCGAACGAACUCUGGUAUUGAUUGGUGCUUGCAUCAUGAUUUACAUUUGAGUGAGUGGCGAACUGGUGAGUAACACGUGGGAAACCUGCCCAGAAGCGGGGGAUAACACCUGGAAACAGAUGCUAAUACCGCAUAACAACUUGGACCGCAUGGUCCGAGCUUGAAAGAUGGCUUCGGCUAUCACUUUUGGAUGGUCCCGCGGCGUAUUAGCUAGAUGGUGGGGUAACGGCUCACCAUGGCAAUGAUACGUAGCCGACCUGAGAGGGUAAUCGGCCACAUUGGGACUGAGACACGGCCCAAACUCCUACGGGAGGCAGCAGUAGGGAAUCUUCCACAAUGGACGAAAGUCUGAUGGAGCAACGCCGCGUGAGUGAAGAAGGGUUUCGGCUCGUAAAACUCUGUUGUUAAAGAAGAACAUAUCUGAGAGUAACUGUUCAGGUAUUGACGGUAUUUAACCAGAAAGCCACGGCUAACUACGUGCCAGCAGCCGCGGUAAUACGUAGGUGGCAAGCGUUGUCCGGAUUUAUUGGGCGUAAAGCGAGCGCAGGCGGUUUUUUAAGUCUGAUGUGAAAGCCUUCGGCUCAACCGAAGAAGUGCAUCGGAAACUGGGAAACUUGAGUGCAGAAGAGGACAGUGGAACUCCAUGUGUAGCGGUGAAAUGCGUAGAUAUAUGGAAGAACACCAGUGGCGAAGGCGGCUGUCUGGUCUGUAACUGACGCUGAGGCUCGAAAGUAUGGGUAGCAAACAGGAUUAGAUACCCUGGUAGUCCAUACCGUAAACGAUGAAUGCUAAGUGUUGGAGGGUUUCCGCCCUUCAGUGCUGCAGCUAACGCAUUAAGCAUUCCGCCUGGGGAGUACGGCCGCAAGGCUGAAACUCAAAGGAAUUGACGGGGGCCCGCACAAGCGGUGGAGCAUGUGGUUUAAUUCGAAGCUACGCGAAGAACCUUACCAGGUCUUGAUAUACUAUGCAAAUCUAAGAGAUUAGACGUUCCCUUCGGGGACAUGGAUACAGGUGGUGCAUGGUUGUCGUCAGCUCGUGUCGUGAGAUGUUGGGUUAAGUCCCGCAACGAGCGCAACCCUUAUUAUCAGUUGCCAGCAUUAAGUUGGGCACUCUGGUGAGACUGCCGGUGACAAACCGGAGGAAGGUGGGGAUGACGUCAAAUCAUCACGCCCCUUAUGACCUGGGCUACACACGUGCUACAAUGGAUGGUACAACGAGUUGCGAACUCGCGAGAGUAAGCUAAUCUCUUAAAGCCAUUCUCAGUUCGGAUUGUAGGCUGCAACUCGCCUACAUGAAGUCGGAAUCGCUAGUAAUCGCGGAUCAGCAUGCCGCGGUGAAUACGUUCCCGGGCCUUGUACACGCCGCCCGUCACACCAUGAGAGUUUGUAACACCCAAAGUCGGUGGGGUAACCUUUUAGGAACCAGCCGCCUAAGGUGGGACAGAUGAUUAGGGUG
rnacentral:rRNA from 1 species